rnacentral:rRNA from 1 species
CCUACGGGCGGCAGCAGUGAGGAAUAUUGGUCAAUGGGCGUAAGCCUGAACCAGCCAAGUCGCGUGAAGGAUGACGGUUCUAUGGAUCGUAAACCUCUUUUAUAAGGGAAUAAAAUGUUGGACGUGUCCGGUUUUGUAUGUACCUUAUGAAUAAGGAUCGGCUAACUCCGUGCCAGCAGCCGCGGUAAUACGGAGGAUCCGAGCGUUAUCCGGAUUUAUUGGGUUUAAAGGGUGCGUAGGCGGCCUGUUAAGUCAGCGGUGAAAGUUUGUGGCUCAACCAUAGAAUUGCAGUUGAAACUGGGAGGCUUGAGUAUGUUAGAGGUGGGCGGAAUGCGUGGUGUAGCGGUGAAAUGCUUAGAUAUCACGAAGAACCCCGAUUGCGAAGGCAGCCCGCUAGGCUAUGACUGACGCUGAUGCACGAAAGUGUGGGAAUCAAACAGGAUUAGAUACCCUAGUAGUC